rnacentral:rRNA from 1 species
AAGGAUCAUUAUUGAAAUAAACCUGAUGGGUUGUUGCUGGUUCUCUAUGGGGACAUGUGCACGCCCGUCAUCUUUAUAUCUCCACCUGUGCACACUUUGUAGACCUGGGUAGCUUUCUGAAUGCCUUUUGGUGUUCAGGUUUGAGGACUGACUAUCCUUGUCUCUCCUUACAUUUCCAGGUCUAUGUUUUCUUCAUAUACCCCAAUGUAUGUUAUAGAAUGUAAUUAAUGGGCCUUUGUGCCUAUAAACCUAUACAACUUUCAGCAACGGAUCUCUUGGCUCUCGCAUCGACGAAGAACGCAGCGAAAUGCGAUAAGUAAUGUGAAUUGCAGAAUUCAGUGAAUCAUCGAAUCUUUGAACGCACCUUGCGCUCCUUGGUAUUCCGAGGAGCAUGCCUGUCUGAGUGUCAUUAAUAUAUCAACCUCUUUAGCUUUUGCUAAUUGAGUGUUGGAUGUGGGGGAAUUUUGCUGGUCUCUUUUUAAACGAGGUCAGCUCCCCUAAAAUGCAUUAGCGGAACAUUUGUUGACCGUUCAUUGGUGUGAUAACUAUCUACGCUAUUGACGUGAGGCAGUUCAGCUUCUAACAGUCCAUUGACUUGGACAAUUUUCAUUAAUGUGACCUCAAAUCAGGUAGGACUACCCGCUGAACUUAA